rnacentral:Y_RNA from 1 species
GGCUGGUUCACUGGUAAUGGGUUAUCAGAACUUAUUAACAUUAGUGUCACUAAAGUUGGUAUACAACUCUCUCACUGCUAAAUUUGUGUGGCUUAAA